CUCUAAUGGAACAUUAUGGGGGCCGGCUCUGCUAUUGUGCAAUCACUUCCCCUUUACUGGUCCCGCAAGGCACCCUCUUUGUGCGGCUAAUAGAAUACUGCUCCAGCUAACAGCUACCUCAAGCGUUUCAGGCAUGCUGUGUCAUUCUGGAGAAGUGAGGAAUUCAACACCACCAGGAGAAUAAUGUCAAACUUUGACCGGUUGCACGGUGUGACCAGAAACAGCAAGAACAGUCAAGGAGGAUGUCGGCUGUAGCGGGUGCAUUCUGGGUUGGUUUGGUAAGUCGGAUUGGUUGGGGUGAGGUUGGCCUGGAGCUGGAAGUAUUCCUUGUCGAAUCUACAUAAAAACAGGAGCUGUUACACUGCUGCCAUCUGGUGGGCAUUGCCUUCACGUCAGGCAAAUAAAAUGCAGAGCACAUACUUGUCUGACUCUUCAGGGACAAAGUGGAGAGAUGCUGAGACUGACCUUCUGAUUGUCCCGAAAGGACACCUGAUAACUGCUUUUAUGAGAGGGUCCGAGUAUGAGACCAUGGCAAGGCGCCGACGCACUUCGUCCUGGUCUCUCUGGAUAAAUACAACAGAGCAGCAUGCUCUCUAAUGUGGGGCCCUGUAGCUUCCUCUCAGCAUCCGUCUCAGCCACCUGCUGCCUCUGCGUG